UCGAAUCGUUACAUCCGUGCACGGAUCGGCAAACAUACGAAAGAAAAUUACGUGAUACGUCAAUCGUAUGCGGUGAUUGGCAUUAUGACAUACGAUAGCAAACGGAUCGUAAUGUCACAAUAGAUGUGGAACUGUCAAAACUGUUGCGAAAUUUUCAAUAAACUAACAGAAGUAAAUCAGAAAUAUCAAAAUGAA